rnacentral:rRNA from 1 species
GCUAUACUGCAGUCGAGCGGACAGAAGGGAGCUUGCUCCCGGAUGUUAGCGGCGGACGGGUGAGUAACACGUGGGUAACCUGCCUGUAAGACUGGGAUAACUCCGGGAAACCGGAGCUAAUACCGGAUAGUUCCUUGAACCGCAUGGUUCAAGGAUGAAAGACGGUUUCGGCUGUCACUUACAGAUGGACCCGCGGCGCAUUAGCUAGUUGGUGGGGUAAUGGCUCACCAAGGCAACGAUGCGUAGCCGACCUGAGAGGGUGAUCGGCCACACUGGGACUGAGACACGGCCCAGACUCCUACGGGAGGCAGCAGUAGGGAAUCUUCCGCAAUGGACGAAAGUCUGACGGAGCAACGCCGCGUGAGUGAUGAAGGUUUUCGGAUCGUAAAGCUCUGUUGUUAGGGAAGAACAAGUGCGAGAGUAACUGCUCGCACCUUGACGGUACCUAACCAGAAAGCCACGGCUAACUACGUGCCAGCAGCCGCGGUAAUACGUAGGUGGCAAGCGUUGUCCGGAAUUAUUGGGCGUAAGGGCUCGCAGGCGGUUCUUAGUCUGAUGUG